GGAGACAGGAAGUAGAAGGAUGCUUCAAGGAGGAGGAGUGGUACCCAGGAGAGGGGAGGAAGAGCAUUCCUUGACCUCUCAAUCUCCCCCACUCUUCCUCCUCCUUGGGUACCACUCCUCAUCCUUGAAGCAUCCUUCUACUUCCUCUCUCCU